CAAACUUGUCUGCAGCACUCAGGAGGCUCAGGGAAUUAACCAGGAGGGAACAGUAGCCCGGUUAAAAUAGUUUCUGUACUUCCAGAGGAAGCAAUUAAAUCUCAGCGUCUACCAUGGCAAAAGACCGAUUGUACUUGAGGAACAAAAUCGGGGAUGAUCAUCCUUUAGUGGCGGGAAGCUGGAAAAUGAGGUAGGACAUAUAGGGUGAUGGGCAGGACUCUGCUAUGGACUGAAUAUUUGUGUCUCCCUCACCAAAUUUAUAAGUUGAAACCUAAAUCCCCAAUGUCAUGGUAUUUGGAGGUGGGGCCUCCAGAAGUUUUUAUAUCAUUAUGGUGGAGCCCUCUUGAAUGGGAUUAGAGCCCUUAUAAGAAAAGACAUGACAGAGAUGCUCUCUCUCUGGUUUCUGCCAUGUGGGGAUACAAAGAGAAGAUGGCUAUUUCUAAUCCAGGAAGAGGGCCCUCACUAGACACUGGAUCUGCUGACUUCUGAGCCUCCAGAAUUGUGAGAGAUAAAUUUCUGUUAUUGAAGCUACCCAGUCCAUAGUGGUUUGUUAUAGCAGCCUAAACUAAGACUCUAUUCCACCAGAAGCAAUUUUUAAAAUAGCUUUAUUGGCAUAUAAUUGGCAUCCAAUACACUUCAUGUGUUUACAAUAUAAAAUUUAAUAUGCGUUGACACAGGCACACACCUACAAAACCAUCACAACAAUCAACCAUCACCGGCACAUCCAUCACCACCAAAAAGUUUCCCAGUGCCCCUUUAUCAUCCCUGCCUCCCUGCUCUUCCUUCCCUACCCACAAGAUAAGCACUGACCUCCUUUCUUUCAUUAUAUAUUUGUUUGCAUUUUCUAUAAUUUUAUAUAAAUGGAAACAUGCAGUAUAUAUGCUUUUUGAGGAUGGGGGGGGUCUGGCUUCUUUAAUUCAACAUAAUUAUUUUGAGAAUCAUUCAUGUUGUGGUAUGUAUCAAUUGUUCAUUCUUUUAUAUUGCUGAGUAAGUAGUUUUUCACUUAUAGCAAUUUUACAUCUCAAGCAAGGUUACCCUGGGACUAAAAUUUUGAGGUGUUAAGGAAAGUUUAUAAAAAAUGUGGGCUUUCCCUUAGAGCAGAGCUUGCUGCUGCUAUCUUGGGAAAUAAACCUUUUCUUUGGUCUCAAAAUUAAGGACAGUUAAUUAAAGAAAAAAUAGCCAUUUAAUAUUCUUUAAUGAUAAAAAGAAUUUUGUAAUUCCCAGGGACUGUGGGCUGUGAGGAGAGAGAAAGAGGCUUGAGAAACCAGAAACCAUCAUUUGCAUCCAAGGUAAAUCUCAACCCAUUCUGAUUCUCAGUUUCCUAUUGUUUGUUUCUGCACUUGUGGUAGUAAAUGCACUGAAGAGAAUGUUACUAUUCCAGUCUUGAUUUUGCUUUUGGAAUCACUAGAAGGGAAGACUACUCUGCACUGCAAUUAUAUCAUUCAUUCGUGCAUUCAUUCAUUCAGUCACCAUACAUGUAUCAGUGUCUUCUCUAUGCUUGACAUCACACUGGGGAUAAAGAGACAGAUCUAAGGCUUAUGGGAAGACUCGGUUCCUGCUUUCACAGAGUUAUGGGGUAUGCAGGUAUCAAGGCUGCAGAGUUUUACAACAGACUGACAGUAAAUGAGAGAUCAAAGAGAUGACAGACAGGUCAAGAUGGUGCUGAGGCUCUCAAGUUCCCAUCAUGGAGACUAGAAGACAGGAUUGAAUAUGGAUAUGGUGACAGAGGAAGGAUUCUGACUCAUAGACUAUUAGAAAACACAGGCCCCAUUGGCAAUAACAGAGAAUGCAACCCCCAACUCCCCCAAAGGAGCGGUGGGGAAGACUGGAAGAUGUAGAGGCAUAUGGAGCAUGGCUCCUGUCUCCAAACACUAGCCUUGAAUGUGCACAUUGUUGUUUGCACUACCAAAAAGUAAAGAAACCUAUUUUCCUUUUUUUUGUUUUUUU
rnacentral:lncRNA from 1 species